GAACGCCGUAUGACACUGAAAGGGUCACGUACGGUGUGAGAUGGGGGAAAAGCUGGAGAUAACUUCAAAUGCUUACCUAUCAUCAU
rfam:Anaerobacillus alkalilacustris strain DSM 18345 Ga0137925_130, whole genome shotgun sequence.